GAUGAACGCUGGCGGCGUGCUUAACACAUGCAAGUCGAACGAAGCAUUUGCGACAGAUUUUUUCGGAAUGAAGUUGCUUAUGACUGAGUGGCGGACGGGUGAGUAACGCGUGGGUAACCUGCCUUGUACUGGGGGAUAGCAGCUGGAAACGGCUGGUAAUACCGCAUAGGCGCACAAUGUUGCAUGACAUGGUGUGAAAAACUCCGGUGGUAUAAGAUGGACCCGCGUCUGAUUAGCUAGUUGGUGAGAUAACAGCCCACCAAGGCGACGAUCAGUAGCCGACCUGAGAGGGUGACCGGCCACAUUGGGACUGAGACACGGCCCAGACUCCUACGGGAGGCAGCAGUGGGGAAUAUUGCACAAUGGAGGAAACUCUGAUGCAGCGACGCCGCGUGAGUGAAGAAGUAAUUCGUUAUGUAAAGCUCUAUCAGCAGGGAAGAUAGUGACGGUACCUGACGAAGAAGCUCCGGCUAAAUACGUG
rnacentral:rRNA from 1 species